UUUAAAACCAAGAAGGAUAAUUUUAACAGGAGAUAUGAACGAAAGAAUUGAACAAUGAUAAAACGCGACAUGCACUACAAAUUGAAGGUAUGAAAUUAAGUUAAAUGAAAGCUCGUUUAUUCACCAUAUGAUGCUCGUUAUACCGUGAGUUAACGAGGUCGUUUACAUGCACGUGAGUGCACGGAUAUCGGUUAAUUAUUCAAAUUACUGAAAAACACGGAGAAAACCGCAACCGCAUUGUCAUAUGUUUUUCUAAGAUGUAUGCAAACAGGGGAAAUAUCGCCAAACCAACAAUUAAUUUGACCAAAACCUCACAAUAUAUCAUCAUUUGUAUGCACAGAUUGGAUGCAUUGUGUGUUGUAAGCUUUUCGUGGCGCUAGAUGUCAGACAGAUGCAAAUGGCAAAUACAUACGAAAGUGUAAAACGUGUAUGCCAAACAUUUGUUUUUCUGUCAUUAUAGAUGCUAGUUUGGUGAAAGUUCACACUGAGUGCUUCAAAUCAUUCAGAAGAGAUGCUGUUUUUAGGGCAGUUUAUUAAAGAAGACCUGACAUGGAUGACUUCCAAUGAGAAACGACUGCUAAUACUUAUAUAAAUUCAUUACAGAAGGACCCUACCAGACUAUAUUUGAAUACGGCAUACCCAUGAAUUCUGGAACUGUUAUUCCUUAACCCAGUUUGGAGGAUAAGAGCUUACCAACUAGUUAUAAAUAUGCUGAGGUGAUGAAUUGCAAAAUAGCCAACAUACAACAAUAUGGAUGACCCUCUGUCUGGUCAACAGGAGUUUAAAUAUGGACGGGACAGUGAUGUGGCAGCUCUUCCCUGGCUCAUUCACCUCUUGCCUUCAUUUGUGAAAGGAAGAAAGACUGGAGAGGGUCAAUGUGCAACUGAAGCUACUGAUUGUGCUGUGUGAUUAGCAUCAAUCCAUGCUUUGAGGUGGAUGAAUAAGCACAGCCCUGCCUGCACUGCGUUGGGAACAGAAGUUGCAUCCAGAAUUUUUGCAUCAUUCUGGACCAAAAAGCCAUUCCCUCCAUGAUGAAGACCACUGAUGCAGCCUUCCACUACAUCAUGAGUAAAACAACUACAGAACUAAAUACCAGGUUGGAACGUAUUUAAGAAAAAUGAAACGUCUUUUGAAUUGAAAUGUCUGUUUUGUUAUGGAAAAAUCUUUAGUAUUGUGAAGGAUAAGCAUUUCUGCCUGCCAGUAAGGUAAUUGCAGUGUAUUUUAAUGUUCAAGUUUUGAGUAGGGUGGCUAAUUUUUUUUAAACUCUCAUUUGAUAUAUUAAAGACCUUAUAAUAAGUGGUUUUCAUGUCACUGCGCUGUGCUAUAAGAUAACUUUCAUUAUUCCAUACUGUAUUCUGUUUCUAAUUGUAGCUGAGGUAUUUAAAUAAGCAGUGUUAAAUGCAAAGUGUUGUGUGUAUCAAUGUAAAUAUUAAAUGUGAUGUACUUUAAUAAAA